AGAGCCUUUUGAGGCAACCGCUAAUUAGAGACGGACUUAUUAGAAGCAUCCACUUUUUUUCUUCAAAAACUCAUUAGAGGCUACAUCCCCGUUUUUUGAGGAAAUUAAGACAUGCCCCUGAAAGAAAAUUUUCAUGUAUUGUGGAAAACCACACUACGGGGGUGUUUAUGUGAACCCUAUUGCAUAUCCAGCCGAUGAUAGCAGUGAUGUUGUUGCUUCACUUGCUUCCCAGCCUAUUGCCCAACCAAAUAGAGCUACUGUUUGUGCGCAAGAAAGAUUGAAGGGCUUAUAGGAUAUUGAUGUUGUUGAAGGGGGGAAACAUGAGAUGGAAAUUGGCAUGAGAACAAGAAAUUAAAGUUGGAAGCUAGUGUUGUUGAGCAGGAGUUUCUUGCUCAGCGCUCGAAUGCUAUGCGAGAAGCACAACAAUAACAACAACAACAACAACAACAACAACAACAACAACAACAACAACAACAAUAACCACAACGCUACAUAGCGCGGCCCAAGGCCUAGCGCCUAUUCGCACUAUGGGUCGUGCGUGUGCUUUCCGGCCUUGGACCUUGUGCCUUGGUCGGUUAGCUUACUUAUUGUGCAAAGGAUUAUUUUCCUUAACCCUAAUGAAGUUGUUUUCCCAACCCUAAAACACACUUUGCAACCCUAAUUUUCUGUGUGGCUCGAAAGUGAGAUUUCCAGAAAAGCCAAACUACCUUGAGAUUGUGCUAAGCUAAUGGGACAAGGCGGAUUCGAAAAUGCCGUUGAAAGAUUGUAGAGGAACUACACGUGGAGUUCUUGGUCGUGUUCGUAAAGCUAGUGGGAGUACACACUACGAAUGUAUGUAACACUUUAUCUAUACUUUUGCAUGUGAUCUUGGUUAUGGUGAAUGUUUCCGCAUGUUAAUUAGAUUAGAAUUAAUUACAAACA